rnacentral:rRNA from 1 species
AGAGUCCGAGUUGUAAUUUGCAGAGGGCGCUUUGGCUUUGGCAGCGGUCCAAGUUCCUUGGAACAGGACGUCACAGAGGGUGAGAAUCCCGUACGUGGUCGCUAGCUAUUGCCGUGUAAAGCCCCUUCGACGAGUCGAGUUGUUUGGGAAUGCAGCUCUAAAUGGGAGGUAAAUUUCUUCUAAAGCUAAAUAUUGGCCAGAGACCGAUAGCGCACAAGUAGAGUGAUCGAAAGAUGAAAAGCACUUUGGAAAGAGAGUCAAACAGCACGUGAAAUUGUUGAAAGGGAAGCGCUUGCAGCCAGACUUGCUUGCAGUUGCUCAUCCGGGCUUUUGCCCGGUGCACUCUUCUGCAGGCAGGCCAGCAUCAGUUUGGGCGGUGGGAUAAAGGUCUCUGACACGUUCCUUCCUUCGGGUUGGCCAUAUAGGGGAGACGUCAUACCACCAGCCUGGACUGAGGUCCGCGCAUCUGCUAGGAUGCUGGCGUAAUGGCUGUAAGCGGCCCGUCUUGAAACACGGACCAAGGAGUCUAACAUCUAUGCGAGUGUUUGGGUGUCAAGCCCGAGCGCGUAAUGAAAGUGAACGGA